UACAGAGGUGGCAAGCGUUGUUCGGAAUUACUGGGCGUAAAGGGCGCGUAGGCGGCUCGACAAGUCCCGCGUGAAAGCCCCCGGCUCAACUGGGGAACUGCGCGGGAAACUGUCGGACUUGAGUUCGGGAGAGGGAAGCGGAAUUCCGGGUGUAGCGGUGAAAUGCGUAGAUAUCCGGAGGAACACCGGUGGCGAAGGCGGCUUCCUGGACCGACACUGACGCUGAGGCGCGAAAGCGUGGGGAGCGAACAGG
rnacentral:rRNA from 1 species